rnacentral:tRNA from 1 species
UGUUCUGUGGCUUAGUUGAUUAAGCGCCGGUCUAACGAGAACGGAGUCGUGGGUUUAAAUUCCACCAGAAUGC